rnacentral:piRNA from 1 species
AAAGCUGCUUGAAUCAGAAGGAG